rnacentral:ribozyme from 1 species
UUAAUUGAGGAGACAAAUGGAGAACGAAAAAAGAAAAGCAUACAAACAAGAAGCAACAGAAUAUCCAGAGGCAAUCAAAA